AGAGCGAACGCUGGCGGCAGGCUUAACACAUGCAAGUCGAGCGGGCGUAGCAAUACGUCAGCGGCAGACGGGUGAGUAACGCGUGGGAACGUACCUUUUGGUUCGGAACAACCCAGGGAAACUUGGGCUAAUACCGGAUAAGCCCUUACGGGGAAAGAUUUAUCGCCGAAAGAUCGGCCCGCGUCUGAUUAGCUAGUUGGUGGGGUAAUGGCCCACCAAGGCGACGAUCAGUAGCUGGUCUGAGAGGAUGAUCAGCCACAUUGGGACUGAGACACGGCCCAAACUCCUACGGGAGGCAGCAGUGGGGAAUAUUGGACAAUGGCGCAAGCCUGAUCCAGCCAUGCCGCGUGGAUGAUGAAGGCCCUAGGGUUGUAAAGUCCUUUCGGCGGGGAAGAUAAUGACGGUACCCGCAGAAGAAGCCCCGGCUAACUUCGCGCCAGCAGCCGC
rnacentral:rRNA from 1 species